rnacentral:rRNA from 1 species
GACGAACGCUGGCGGCGUGCUUAACACAUGCAAGUCGAACGGUGAAGCACCUUCCUUUUGGUGGGUGUGGAUGAGUGGCGAACGGGUGAGUAACACGUGAGUAACCUGCCCCCUUCUUCUGGAUAACCGCAUGAAAGUGUGGCUAAUACGGGAUAUUCUGUGCCUGCUGCAUGGUGGGUGUGGGAAAGAUGCGCUUUUGGGUGUUUUUGGUGGGGGAUGGGCUCGCGGCCUAUCAGCUUGUUGGUGGGGUGAUGGCCUACCAAGGCGGUGACGGGUAGCCGGCCUGGGAGGGUGGACGGUCACACUGGGACUGAGACACGGCCCAGACUCCUACGGGAGGCAGCAGUGGGGAAUAUUGCACAAUGGGCGCAAGCCUGAUGCAGCGACGCCGCGUGAGGGAUGGAGGCCUUCGGGUUGUAAACCUCUUUCGCCAGUGAAGCAGGCCUGUCCCUUGUGGGUGGGUUGACGGUAGCUGGAUAAGAAGCGCCGGCUAACUACGUG